rnacentral:rRNA from 1 species
AUUGAACGCUGGCGGCAGGCCUAACACAUGCAAGUCGAACGAGACCUUCGGGUCUAGUGGCGCACGGGUGCGUAACGCGUGGGAAUCUGCCCUCUGGUUCGGAACAACAGUUGGAAACGACUGCUAAUACCGGAUAAUGACUUCGGUCCAAAGAUUUAUCGCCUGAGGAUGAGCCCGCGUAGGAUUAGCUUGUUGGUGAGGUAAAAGCUCACCAAGGCGACGAUCCUUAGCUGGUCUGAGAGGAUGAUCAGCCACACUGGGACUGAGACACGGCCCAGACUCCUACGGGAGGCAGCAGUGGGGAAUAUUGGACAAUGGGCGAAAGCCUGAUCCAGCAAUGCCGCGUGAGUGAUGAAGGCCUUAGGGUUGUAAAGCUCUUUUACCCGGGAUGAUAAUGACAGUACCGGGAGAAUAAGCCCCGGCUAACUCCGUGCCAGCAGCCGCCGUAAAAC